CACGUAGGGGGCAAGCGUUGUCCGGAUUUAUUGGGCGUAAAGAGCUCGUAGGCUGUUCGAUAAGUCGGGUGUGAAACCUCCAGGCUCAACCUGGAGACGCCACCCGAUACUGUCAUGACUAGAGUCCGGAAGAGGCAAGUGGAAUUCCCGGUGUAGCGGUGAAAUGCGCAGAUAUCGGGAGGAACACCAAUGGCGAAGGCAGCUUGCUGGGACGGUACUGACGCUGAGGCGCGAAAGCGUGGGGAGCAAACAGG
rnacentral:rRNA from 1 species